rnacentral:rRNA from 1 species
CAGCCGCCGCGGGAAUACGGAGGGUGCAAGCGUUAUCCGGAUUCACUGGGUUUAAAGGGUGCGUAGGCGGGCAGGUAAGUCAGUGGUGAAAUCUUCGAGCUUAACUCGGAAACUGCCGUUGAUACUAUCUGUCUUGAAUAACGUUGAGGUGAGCGGAAUAUGUCAUGUAGCGGUGAAAUGCUUAGAUAUGACAUAGAACACCGAUUGCGAAGGCAGCUCACUAAACGCUCAUUGACGCUGAGGCACGAAAGCGUGGGGAUCAAACAGGAUUAGAUACCCCUGUAGUCCCUGUCUCUUAUAC